rnacentral:rRNA from 1 species
UACGAAGGGUGCAAGCGUUACUCGGAAUUACUGGGCGUAAAGCGUGCGUAGGCGGUUUGUUAAGUCCGUUGUGAAAGCCCUGGGCUCAACCUGGGAAUUGCAGUGGAUACUGGCGAGCUAGAGUGCGGUAGAGGAUGGUGGUAUUCCCGGUGUAGCGGUGAAAUGCGUAGAGAUCGGGAGGAACACCCGUGGCGAAGGCGGCCAUCUGGACCAGCACUGACGCUGAGGCACGAAAGCGUGGGGAGCGAACGGG